CGGUCAUGCAGCAGCCAUUUUGGAUCUGAGAGAGUCGGCCAUGCAGCAGCCAUUUGCGCAUCCUUCCCUUCUCCCAGCCCCACAGGAGGCUGUCUCUGCAUCCUGCCUCCUUUCAAAUGCAUCCUGUGCCAACAGUUUCUGAAAACUGAUAAACAAAUUGACAACCUCAAAUGCAAAGAUGAAACAUUUCUCCAGAUCAUCAGGCACAUGGUUUACUCAGGCCCAGAGGAGUGAGCUGAUAUAAAGAAGCUGUGCCACACAGUCAGAUGGGGUCCGAAGGAAACAAUAGGGCUGAGUGAUGAGUAUUGAAGAAGAAAUCUAAAGAAAGAAUGUCUUAUCAGCUGACCGCAAAGCUGCCUCCUUCUACCUGGCCACAUUGCUUAUCUAUUGUACUGUGUCUCUCUUGGAUGGAAAUGAUACACCAAUCACUCAAAAGUGAAUAAUUUGCUUCUAAAUCACAGGCCUACACCUGAGGUGGCUGCCACAGGUGCAGCCUGUUUAGACCAGCAAUUAUAUUUACUCCAUGAUGACAGAAAACAGGAAAGAUGUAUCAUACAGUGGAUUUGCUCCUGCUAUUUAUAAAUAGACCUCUUUACAUUAGCACUACAUAUGAUUGUCUCAUCCACUUAUCAGCAAUUUAAUAUAUCACAGACAACAUGGGUUAAAAGCAAAAUAAGUUUCAAACACUAAUCUUAGUUUACUCAUAAGUAUUUCACUUCUACAAACCUUGUUUAUUCAAGCUAUGGUUCUAUACAAAUUGGCAAGUCAUUCUUUAUUUUACCUUUCUGUGGUUCUAGACCCUUCUAGACUAAAGAUCCCUGACGUUACUGCUGCCUUUUCUAGAUGUUUUCCUGAGUACAAAUGUGAGCUUAUUGUUAACACCAGUCUCUUUCUCUUUAAGAACUGGUUUUUCUCUGAUGGCUCUGGUCUAAGAGAGCUCACUCUGGAUUUCUCUGUUAGUUUUCUAACAUAACCCACAGUGAGAAAUCUAUUUUACAUUGGGAAUAAGGGAAUAUUUAUGCGUAAAGUCAAACAAAAUUGAAGUUUACUUAUGCUUUUUUGCACUUUGAUAUUUUCUAUAUAUUCUGCCAUGUUCCCUAAUAUUCUCUGUUAUUCUAUUUUAUUUUUAAGAAAAUGAUUGGUCUCUACCCACACAAUGAUUCUGCAAUCCACUGUUGGAACGUGAUGCACAGCCUCAAGCCACUGUGUGGGAGCUUCCUCAUCAGAAGGGAGGGGUACCAGGGGGUGUGGUGAUGUGGCCCUGGGUGUGGGAAUUCCCAAAAGGGCAGCUCUGGUAGCAGCCUCUCAUCUAUAGUAUCAUAUUUUCAGUGUCAUCGUGACGCAGAGAAGUAGAAGAUUCAAGACUUUGGAAAACAGCCAUUUUCUCUCAAUUACAAGAAUAAUAACAGUAUUUGAAAGAUCCUAAAAGUGGUGAAGAUGGAGUAAGUGUUUGGUAGGGAAUCCCUGCCCCAGCUGAUCAUUAUGUCUGCCUUGGCUGUACAUGUGUCUUAGUGUCAUUUCUGAACUAUCACCCAGAGAGGCGGGUUAAGACAGGUUAAGACCACAGAGUCAGACCUCUUGGAGUUGAAUCCUGACACCACUGCAUUCUAGCUGUGUGACUUUAGAAAGUCCCUUAGCCUCUAUGAAAUUUAGUUUGCUCAAUCAGAAAAUGAGAAUAAUGACACUGUUCAUCUUAUAAAAUUGUUGCAAGGAUUAAAUAAACUACCAGAUGGAA
rnacentral:lncRNA from 1 species